GAGAGGUGAUGUGAUAGAAAAAAGAUAAAAAGAUGGAAUAUUUAAGGGAUUGGCUAAUGUUCCUUUUUCUUUUUCUUCUUUUGUUUAAAUUGUUUAUCAUGUUUUUUUUUUUUAUUGUUCCAUGUUCUUCAAUUGUUUUCAUAUUAUGAUGUUUUUUCUUCUUUUUUUGGGAGGUUUCAGUAGUUAGGGGUGUUUGGGCUAAUUUAUGCGUAUCUUAACUAAUCCUAACUCAGGUCCAAUCAAAGGCAAGUCAUUCAUACCGGGUUAAAAAAUUCAUGAAAAAUUACUUUCUCGCAACCUAAAUUUAAGAAUUGAAUAUUGAGCAUGUAAAUAUUACACUUACCAACCAUUCAUAAUAACUCUCAAAAUACUACUGUUAACACAAUUAGACAAAUAAAAAAGUAUAUUGAAUAAUAUUAUGUGUAUCUCAUUCAAUAUAAUGAAGGCCCAUAUAUAUAGACAAGAAGGAGAAAGAGAAUUCUAAUCAUACUAUAUAAUGUAAUCCUAAUCCUAUUAUAUAAUGUAAAGAAUCCUAAUCCUAUUAUAUAAUGUAAAUAUAAUAUAAUCUAAUAUAUAUCACUAACAGCCCCCCUCAAACUCAAGAUGGUUUCAAAGAGACCAACUGGAGUUUGGAAGGAAACUCAUGAAAACGACCAGGAAGAUGAGUUUUAGUAACAGAUCAGCAACUUGAGCAGCGGAAGAAACAGACUAGAGUUGGAUAAUGCCACUAUUGACAUGCUAACGAAUAAAAUGACAGUCAAUCUCGAUGUGUUUGGUGCGAUCAUGAAAAACAUCAUUGUGAGCAAUCUGAAUGGCAUUACUCUUCUAUUGCUUCAUGUUGAUGAUAUGAUUAUUAUCGGUGAUGAUCUUGAUGGCAUUCAUGAGCUGAAACAUUUUCUCAGGUCUCAUUUUGAGAUGAAAGAUCUAGGUUCUCUUAAUUAUUUUCGAACGGCAGCAUACUGAGUAGAUUGUGGAGCAGACAAAAACUGACUGACAAUGUGAACUACAUGAGAGAUAUCAGGCCGAGUAAUAGACAAAUAGACCAGACUACCCACUAAUACUGUUGAUGGCACUCACAUGUCUGUUAGUCAUAUUGUUGUCAGGUUCAGGAUCCGCAAACAGGACAGACUAUUGGGAUAUGGCGUAAAACUGGACGUCUGUUUGAACUCAUCAAUCUUCAUCUACCAUUUUCUACACCUACUCCUCAGCAUAUCGCAUCCACUCUCUCUCUUGAUCUUUGGCAUUCUAGAUUAGGGCAUGUUUCUUUUGGUCAGCUAUGUACUUUGGUAUCCGGUGGCAAUUUAGGCUCUAUUUAUUCUAAUUAUCAUAAUGAUUGUCAAUCUUGUCAACUUGCUCUGAUACCAUUUUAACACAAUUAGACAAAUAGAAAAGUAUAUUGAA